GAAAACAGGGAAUGAGGUUCUCCCCGAGAAAUAAAUUCUUAAACCGCUUUGAAAGCUGAUGACCUCUGCGAAU
rnacentral:ncRNA from 1 species